rnacentral:misc_RNA from 1 species
AAGGAUACAUUUCUUCCCAUGGAAUUGGGAAUGCCAAGCAAGCAGCCCACAAAUUAUUUUUGUAAGACAUUGACUGCAAGUGAUACUAGUACGCAUGGAGGCUUCUCUGUUCCUCGUCGUGCUGCAGAGAAAGUUUUCCCUCCUCUGGAUUUCUCACUGCAGCCACCAGCACAGGAACUUAUUGCAAGAGAUCUGCAUGAUGUUGAAUGGAAAUUUAGGCAUAUUUUCCGAGGCCAGCCCAAACGGCAUCUGCUUACUACAGGGUGGAGUGUUUUUGUUAGUGCCAAAAGACUUGUGGCUGGAGAUUCUGUUCUUUUUAUCUGGAAUGAGAAAAAUCAGCUUCUUUUGGGAAUUCGUCGGGCUACUCGACCACAAACUGUAAUGCCAUCUUCUGUAUUAUCUAGUGAUAGUAUGCAUAUUGGACUUCUCGCUGCUGCAGCUCAUGCUGCAGCAACCAAUAGCUGCUUUACAGUUUUCUAUAACCCAAGGGCUAGUCCAUCCGAGUUUGUUAUACCUCUUUCCAAAUAUGUCAAAGCAGUAUUCCACACUCGUGUUUCAGUUGGGAUGCGCUUCCGAAUGCUCUUUGAGACUGAAGAAUCAAGUGUCCGUAGGUAUAUGGGUACGAUAACUGGCAUAAGUGAUCUGGAUCCUGUUCGGUGGCCAAAUUCUCAUUGGCGUUCUGUCAAGGUUGGCUGGGAUGAGUCAACAGCAGGUGAGAGGCAACCAAGGGUAUCAUUAUGGGAGAUUGAGCCUUUAACAACUUUCCCCAUGUAUCCAUCACUGUUUCCCCUCAGACUCAGACGACCUUGGCAUCCUGGGCCCUCAUCUCUGCAUGAUAACAGAGAUGAAGCUGGCAAUGGCUUAAUGUGGCUAAGGGGUGGAACAAGUGAGCAGGGUCUUCACUCUCUGAAUUUUCAAGCUGUUAAUAUGCUUCCAUGGACACAGCCGAGACUGGAUCCUGCAUUGCUGGGGAAUGAUCAGAACCAGUGGUACCAGGCUAUGUUGGCAACUGGUUUGCCAAAUCUGGGAAGUGGAGAUCCCCUGAGACAGCAAUUUAUGCAGUUUCAGCAGCCUUUUCAAUAUCUUCAACAGUCGAGCAGCCAUAAGCAACCAUUAUCCACUGUUGCAGCUACAGCAGCAACAUCAAGCAAUUCAACAAUCAGCCUCUCAUAAUAUGCUUCAGGCACAAAAUCAGAUUUCAACUGAAAGCUUGCCCCGGCAUUUACUGCAGCAACAACUCAACAAUCAGCCGGAUGAUCAAGCACAGCAACAACAUAAUUACCAUGAUGCACUUCAGAUUCAAGGUGAACAACUCAAGAGACAGCAGUCAAAUGUGCCUUCUCCAUCUUUUUUGAAAACAGAUUUCAUGGACUCGAGCAACAAGUUCACAGCAUCUACUACCCCUAUACAGAACAUGCUUGGUUCUCUGUGUGCUGAAGGGAGCGGUAAUCUUUUGGACUUCACCAGAACUGGUCAUUCUACACUAACUACACUAACUGAGCAGUUGCCCCAACAGUCUUGGGUCUCGAAAUAUGCUCCUUCACAGGUCAAUGCCUUUACCAACUCAGUUUCACUUACACGGCCAUAUCCUGAGAAAGAUCAUGCUAUGGAGUCUGAAAAUUGCAACAUGGAUGCUCAGAAUGCUACUAAUUUUGGUGUGAAUAUCGAUUCAUCUGGACUCCUACUACCUACCACACUGCCCAGAUAUGCCACUUCUGCUGUUGAUACUGAUGUUUCGUCAAUGCCAUUAGGGGAUUCUGGGUUUCAGAGUUCUAUAUAUGGUGGUGUGCAAGACUCUU